UACGUAGGGUGCAAGCGUUAAUCGGAAUUACUGGGCGUAAAGCGUGCGCAGGCGGUUCGUUGUGUCGGUGGUGAAAGCCCCGGGCUUAACCUGGGAAUGGCCAUGGAAACUGGCGAACUGGAGUGUGGCAGAGGGGGGUGGAAUUCCGCGUGUAGCAGUGAAAUGCGUAGAGAUGCGGAGGAACACCGAUGGCGAAGGCAGCCCCCUGGGCUAGCACUGACGCUCAGGCACGAAAGCGUGGGGAGCAAACAAG
rnacentral:rRNA from 1 species